GGUCCGCUGGUGUAGUGGUUUACACAUUUGCCUAACAAGCAGAAGAUUCAGGUUUGAUGCCAGGAGGGGGACCA
rnacentral:tRNA from 1 species